GACGAACGCUGGCGGCGUGCUUAACACAUGCAAGUCGAACGGAAAGACCCUGCUUUUGUGGGGUGCUCGAGUGGCGAACGGGUGAGUAACACGUGAGUAACCUGCCCUUGACUUUGGGAUAACUUCAGGAAACUGGGGCUAAUACCGGAUAGGAGCUCCUACUGCAUGGUAGGGGUUUGAAAGUUUCGUCGGUUGGGGAUGGACUCGCGGCUUAUCUGCUUGUUGGUGGGGUAGUUGCUUACCAAGGCUUUGACGGGUAGCCGGCCUGAGAGGGUGACCGGCCACAUGGGCACUGCGAUACGGCCCAGACUCCUACGGGGGCAGCAGUGGGGAAUAUUGCACAAUGGGCGGAAGCCUGAUGCAGCAACGCCGCGUGCGGGAUGACGGCCUUCGGGUUGUAAACCGCUUUCGCCUGUGACGAAGCGUGAGUGACGGUAAUGGGUAAAGAAGCACCGGCUAACUACGUG
rnacentral:rRNA from 1 species